GGCUUCGUGGUGUUGUGGUCAGUACGCUCGACCGGUAUUCGCGAGAUCCGUGGUUCGAGUCCUGGCGAAGGCA
rnacentral:tRNA from 1 species